GUAAUUUGGUAUUAUAAGGUGUUUAGGUAGAUUAAUUAUGGUCGGUUUAGUUAGAAACUUGAUUUAGGUUAGAUGGCCACAAUUAAAUAAGUCAGACUAGAUAGUUAGGUGGACUGUGGCUAGUUGGUGAUUAGACUAAAUUAAAUUGUUUGAUUUCGAGCGAGCGAAAGGCUAGAG